AUCUGACUGAUCCUCAACAUUGGGGAACUUCCUGCCCAAGAAGUGUGAAAGCGAGACAGGGACCUUCUGAGGCUCGAGCAGGCUGGGGUGUGGCUUGGUUUGGAGGGGCUGUGGGAUGAUGCCAGUCUUUGAGGAAGUUGGGUGCUUCUGGAAUCAUCUGCUACUCUGGGGUGUAAGACACACGUACUUGUCUGUCAAAUCAGAUGCUGUGAUCGUGUACUGUGAAAAUUCAAGAGGAUGGUUAAUUUCGAUGAUUUGAAUUUAAUGUGAUACUAUGCAGUUUGCAGACGGGAUGAAGCGGAUUUGCAUGCACGGACAUGAGAAGUGGGGGAUGACAGAUGAAGCGACGCAACCGAGCUGCAGAGCAGCAUGCCUCACAGGAUGCAGCGUGUGCAUGUGUGCGGUGGAGGGCAGGCAGGCUGUGGGAGGCCGUCACCGGAGCUCUGGAGACAAGAAUGGCAUGGGGUGGGGAAGCUGUUUGGAAUUUUUAAAACAUUUUUUUUUUUUUACUCUCCAUAUUGCUUGUUUAUAUUGUCUUGUAUGUUUUUUUUUUUUUUUCAUUAAAACCACAC